UUUUCUAAGCCAUCCCUAGAAUUUAGAACUUCAACUUUUGCACCAGCACCCUGGCUUUGACAUAAAUCUUUCUGAUUUUUUUUCCUUCAAGAAUUCAAGACGUUAUAUUAGAAAUACAACAAAAUAUCUUCUCUGCCAAGAUGAAUAGGUUACUCACCAUGGAAAAGAUACAAGAGAAGGCCCUAGGAUUUCUUAGCUGCUUAGAAUCUCAAGACACUCCUAAGUGGCUGAAUGCUUAAUCUUGGGAUACUACAAUAAAGCUUGGAACAUAAAAUGAGUAAGUUACCUACAGGCUUUAGGUCUCAUCCCCAAAUGGAGACAGAAUGAGGCAGGCAGAAGGAGAGGCAACAAGCAUUUUUAUUUGGGGCUAUGAAAAGAAGUUUUAAUGAGAGAAAGAGAACUUUUUAAAACAUAUACCAUCACUGCCAUCGGGGGCGGGGGGGGGGGAGAAUAGGUGGGGUGAGAUGAUCUAGCCAAAAGUUCAGCUCUGUCAAAAUGGAAAACAAAAGCAUGUGAUGACAUUAAGGUUCAGACAGCAAAGAGAACAAAUGCCAUUAGUGCCUCUGUGAAUACACAAAACUGGAAAAGAAGGUUUCAGUGACGUUUCCAUGUACCGUGUUCAUUUAUAGGGAGCAGCAACAGUGAAAGUGUCAAAAAAUAUAUCAAAACACAUGGCAAGACAAUGUGGUGUGGCUUCUAUGACUGGUCAUGCUGUUUUUGAGCCUGACUUUUUAAGCUUUUUAUUUUGAAAGAUGGUAGAUCUUAAAUGUUCUCAUCACAAAUAAAUAAACUUUUUAUUUUAAAAUAAUUAGAUUCACUGGAAAUUGCAAAUAAACGUGCGGGGGCGCGGGGGGCAGUUCUCCUGCACCCUUCACCAGCUUCCCCCAGUGUUAGCAUCUUGUGUAACUAUAAUUCAAUAUCAAACCAAGAAGUUUACAUUGGUACAAUCCAUAGAACAUACAUCUCAAGGAGUAUGUAAGAAGGAGAUUUCUUGGUGUGGGGGCCCAGACUGAUGAACUUUUGUGAAAUUUUUGCCCAGGAGAUCAGAACGUAUGUAUUAAUAGCUAGAACGGGAGUUGGAAUUGCACUUACCCACCUUCCACCAAUAUCUAUUUGUAAACAGAUGCAUUUUUUUCCAACACCUUUCUGCUUUUUUACAAAUAGCAGAAACACUUUACAAAUGACUUCUGUCUCCGGAGCCCUAUCCAUUCUAUUCUCACAGAUUUAGUAGCAGACAAACAGCUGUAGACACAGCUUGUCUUCGAGGUGGGGAAGCUACUUUGACAGGAAAUAAAGCAAGCAUCCCAUCUCAAUGCCUUGCUUCCUAAUGUACAUGAAGAGCAUUAUUGUCAUUUCAUGUGACAAUUGUGUAAAAAUAUUAAGAAGCAAAAGAUGUCUGUUGAGUAGUAUGAAAUACAAAAAAAGUCAUCUGGUACUUAACCACUGUGUUCCUACACUGGAGGAAAAACCACCCAGGUGGGACUUGGUGAGUGAUGAGGUUAGGAUCUCCAGCAGGGUGCCUCCCUGGGGGAUUUAUCAUGAGUAAUUUUGACUUAUGUGGUGUUUGCCUGAGAGCUGACUUGAGAUCACAGCUCUCCUGUAUAAUACUCACAACUUCACAUGUACCAUUCACACUUCAAGGGGCGGCUGCCCUUUCGGCCCUGGUUCUAUGUGAAACUGCUCAAGACUAAUGUCACUUGAUAAGAAUCCAGUCCUCUGUAAGUGCAAAGAAGUCCUCAUCCUAUUGCUAGAAAGGUCUGAAGAAUGCGAUCCCGUUAGGUGGACAUACCAGGUUAGUGAGCCAGAAAGCUGUAAAGUGUCCUUGUGUAACAAGGCAAAAUGGAAAUUUAAAUGGGCAGCAAAUCUCCCUGGUGCUUCACCCUCAACCUGGCCUCCUUUUCUUCUCGAGGAAAAGAGCUUGAAAAUUACACAUGUGAGCAGCCUCUUUUCAGUCUCAGAAGUUACAGCCACACUGCAUAUUAUUGUAAAUUCUAGCUGUGAACACAUACCUCACUUGCAAGUCAAUCACUUAACAGGUCUUAAUUAUGAGACCACAAAAGAAUAGCACAGUAUAGGAUAGUAAUUGGUGACCAUCUCUGAUAUUAGGAAGACUUAGGCUCAAACACUAUAGCUCUGCCAUUUAGUUAAAGCUGUACAUAUAAAAUAAAAAUAAAAUAUGCAAAAAAAACCAAAAACC